rnacentral:rRNA from 1 species
GAAUGAACGCUGGCGGUGUGGAUAAGGCAUGCAAGUCGAAUGCCGCACCUUUUAGCUUUUAUAUAGUAUACGUUCAUGAAAGUUAAAAGGUGCGGCAUGGCAAACGGGCUAGUAACACGUGGGAAUCUGCCUCAGAGUCGUGAAUAACCAUUUGAAAAGAUGGAUAAUACACGAUACGCUCUCCGGAGUAAAGAUUUAUCGCUUUGAGAGGAGCCCGCGUCCUAUCAGCUUGUUGGUGAGGUAAAAGCUCACCAAGGCGAUGACGGGUAGGGGGUGUGAGAGCAUGGCCCCCAGCAUUGGCACUGAGACACUGGCCAAACACCUACGGGUGGCUGCAGUCGAGAAUAUUCCACAAUGGGCGCAAGCCUGAUGGAGCGACACCGCGUGCGAGAUGAAGGCCUUAGGGUUGUAAAUCGCUAAAACUGGGAUCAAUGUACUGAGCGUACCAGUUGAAAAGAGGUUACUAACUCUGUGCCAGCAGUAGCGGUAAUACAGAGACCUCAAGCGUUAUCCGGAUUUAUUGGGCGUAAAGCGUAUGUAGGCGGGUGUGUUAGUCGUGGGUCAAAUUUCCGAGCUCAACUCGGGAGCUGCUCACGAAACGGCACAUCUAGAGAAAGUGAGAGAUGACUGGAACUCAUGGUGUAGUAGUGAAAUGCGUUGAUAUCAUGGGGAACACCAAAGGCGAAGGCAGGUCAUUGGCACUCUUCUGACGCUCAGAUACGAAAGCGUGGGUAGCGAAUGGGAUUAGAUACCCCAGUAGUCCACGCCGUAAACGAUGCUUACUCGGCAUAUGGAGUAUCGACCCUCUGUGUGUCUUAGCUAACGCGUUAAGUAAGCCGCCUGGGAAGUACGAGCGCAAGCUUAAAACUCAAAGGAAUAGACGGGGAUCCGCACAAGUGGUGGAGCAUGUGGUUUAAUUCGACACUAAGCGAGAAACCUCACCAGGGCUAGAAACUUGGCUGCAUACUUUGGAAACAAAGUAGCCUUCGAGGGUGCCAAGCAGGUGCUGCAUGGUCGUCGUCAGCUCGUGCCGUAAGGUGUUCCCUUAAGUGGGGAAACGAGCGCAACCCUUGUCGUGUGUUAUAUGUGUCACACGAGACCGCCCAGCCGUAAGUUUUGGAAACGAUUGUUUCAAAAAUUUACGGCUGGGAGGAAGGAGAGGAUGACGUCAGAUCAGCAUGGCCCUUGACGCCCUGGGCGACACACGUGCUACAAUGGCUAGGAUAGAGGGUUGCCAAACCGCGAGGUGGAGCUAAUCCCAAAAACCUAGUCUCAGUUCGGAUUGGAGGCUGCAACUCGCCUCCAUGAAGUCGGAAUCACUAGUAAUCGCGAAUCAGAAUGUCGCGGUGAAUACGUUCUCGGAUCU